UGAAGACAAGCCCACUGCAAUACUUUUCUUUAAUAAUGAUUAUGAUUAUUCGCAAAAGAAUACUAGCUAUUAGCCAGAGAGAGACGUCCGACAAAGUUGAGUCACCUGUUGAAAAAAGUUGUUUCAUUUUAUUGCUCAUUGGUAUUUGAAACUUAAUGAAAGUGAUUUUAUCAAGUGAUAAUUAAAUUAAAAGUAUUCUUGACUCAAAGUAAUUCUUCUAAAGAUGAGUUGGACAGUCCAAAAAGUUAAUUUUAAGAUUCUACUCUUUUCAAAAAAUAAAAAACAAAUGAAAAUCUCCUCCUUAGUUGUCCUUGAAUUACAAUUUGGAUUUAAAGCCAUCAAAACUAAUCCAUCGAUUAGUUAAGGUUACUAUUACAAGAAUCCAUUGGUUGUGACUAAUACCAUCUACCUCAUGGAGUAUUAACAAAGUAUUGGAUAGAAAACAUAGGUCGAAGGAGUACUGCUUUGGUACAGGUUGUAGUUGUUGUAUAAUUUUCUGAGUAAGGUCAUUUCAUCUCAAGGGUGGAGUAUUAUUUCACAACUUCAUUGAAGAUGUAAUCAAAAAGGAGGUACCCAGUCAAUUUUUUACAUGUUUUCAUAUGAUUACCUCAUAUUUUUUGCUGCCAUAGGUUUAUAAUGUCUGAGAAUAAAUAUAUAAUUAUUUUAUAUCA
rnacentral:lncRNA from 1 species